rnacentral:rRNA from 1 species
GACGAACGCUGGCGGCGUGCCUAACACAUGCAAGUCGAGCGAUGAAGUUUCCUUCGGGAAAUGGAUUAGCGGCGGACGGGUGAGUAACACGUGGGUAACCUGCCUCAUAGAGGGGAAUAGCCUCCCGAAAGGGAGAUUAAUACCGCAUAAUAUUACAGUUUCGCAUGAAACAGUAAUUAAAGGAGCAAUCCGCUAUGAGAUGGACCCGCGGCGCAUUGGCUAGUUGGUGAGGUAACGGCUCACCAAGGCGACGAUGCGUAGCCGACCUGAGAGGGUGAUCGGCCACAUUUGGACUGAGACACGGCCCAGACUCCUACGGGAGGCAGCAGGGGGGAAUAUUGCACCAUGGGGGAAACCCUGAUGCAGCAACGCCGCGUGAGUGAUGACGGUCUUCGGAUUGUAAAGCUCUGUCCUUGGGGAAGAAAAAAAUGACGGUACCCAAGGAGGAAGCCCCGGCUAACUACGUGCCAGCCGCCGCCGUAACAC